ensembl:lncRNA LINC01547 long intergenic non-protein coding RNA 1547
UGGGACCACCGGUGGGCACCGCCACGCCCGGCUAAUUUUUAUUAAUGUUUUGCUAGAGCCGGGAUCUUGCUGUGUUGUCUGGCUGGUCUUAAACUCCUGGGCUCCAGCGAUCCUCCCUCCUCGGCCUCCCAAAGCGCUGGGAUUACAGGCAUGAGCCACACUGCGCCUGGCCAAGCUAGUGCAUUUUAAUUGACCUUCACUUCAUGUCAAUUUAUUUUUUACACUAUUCCAUUUAGUCCUCAGAACAGUUCUUUAGAAUUGGGUAUUGCUCCGUUUACGUGGGAAACAUAGCAGCGAGGUAACGGGCUGGGUCCCGUGCUGGGAACGGGAGCCCUGCUCAUCUGACUGCUUGCACCCUGUGCUGUCUAUGCUGGGCGUACUGGGGGGCGUUAGGGAAGAGACCACAGGUACGAUGCAAUGCCUGUCCUCAAGGAGCCCAUUGUUCUCAUGGGAACACAAAGCUGACACAUCGAGAACAAACUAUGGAACAGGCUGUGGCUGAGGGCCAUGAAGGAAGGCUGCCAAGUCCGGGCCCAGCCAGGUAGCAGCCACACCUCUAUCUACCCUGCUCCCCAACACUGGGCACCAGCACUCACCUGCCCAGGACCCACAGUGAAAACCCACCCACAAAAAAUGCACUUUGGAGAAGAGUAGCAGGUCCCAGGCAGAGCCAGGGCCACCUCUCAGAAAGGACAUCAAGUUUCUCGCCCAGCUGAGAGAUGGACAGAUGACCGCACAAGCCACUCACAGCCCAAGGUGAUGGACUCUAGGAUAUAUUCAAGGCUGAGCAACUGGCUUGAAGUCGUGUCUACUUACAUAUUCAAAGACCUAGUGAGCAUUCACAAGUCAUUCUUUUUACCCUCCAACUAGCCGUGUUCUCAACCAGUCUACCUAGGAAUGCUGUUGGCUGUGAAAACUCCAGAGGCUGGUAUCUUUAGAGUUCCUUCAGGGUGCAUUCAGCAUCUGAGCCUAGCGACUCUUGAGGUGAAAGUGCUCACGUUUUUUUUUUGGUGAGAGAGUCUCACUCUGUCGCCCAGGCUGGAGUGCAGUGGCGCAGUCUCAAAGUGCUCAUCUUUAUGUACUUUGGAUGCCGGUGAAUGCCUAUUGUUUCAGCCAGCUGGAUCACUUUACCUGUUAACCAUUCCAAUGAGUGGCCAGAAGGCUCCUCUCCAGGCCUCACAGAGGGAAACACUGGUCUAGUGAGAGACCUGCGUCCUGCCCAUCAGGACCGAAGCGGCACGCGUGAGGAUCCUGCAGGCCAAGAGACAACAGCGAUUACAAACCCCAGUCCCAGCCUUGCAGCUGACCUUGCAGGUGACGCCCUGCCUGGGUGUCUCGGUGCAGCUGCACAUCAGGGGCCUCUGCUGGACAGAAGCUCUGAGUCCACACUUGGCCCCCAGGCGCUGGAGCUGCACUGCCACGAGAGGGGAUGCUGCCGUGGCUGCGCCAGCUUCAGCCCUUUCCCUGCACCGAGAUGUCCCAGUGAGCGGCUGGGUGCUCA